rnacentral:tRNA from 1 species
GGGUUUGUAGCUCAGUUGGUUAGAGCGUCGCGUCGACAUCGCGAAGGCCGGCCGUUCAAAUCGGCCCAGACCCA